GAUUUAAAUUUAAAUCAUAAAAGCCCAAUUACGAAAAAACGGUUCUUAUUUGGGGACGUUUUUUGUCCGUGUACUUGGACACGUGGAAGCUGGUCGUCGAGAGAAAGUUCUCCAAUUCUCUCUUCUAUCUCGACUCCGUCUCCGUCUUCGUCUUGGGUCCGGUGGCCACACACGAUCUGAACCCAGUCGCCGGCAGUCAUCGCCCACCGUUUGGUGUUGCAAUCUUUCUCUCUCCUUCAAACUCGUAAGCUUUAGAGUAUAUCAACCAGAUGUUCCCAAAGCUUCGGUUCCUUCCAAAUCAUCUCAUCACCACCAGGAACAGCCAGCUACGUCUCACUGAAGAGCAAUCGCUUCUUCUUAAUUAGAUGAGGUCCAGUUGCUGAAGACAUGUUUCAUUGGCAAGCUACAAUAAUGGGUCCUGCAGAGAGUCCGUAUUCAGGGGGUGUGUUUCUCGUUACCAUUCACUUCCCUCCCGAUUAUCCUUUCAAACCACCAAACUGUAGUAAAGUUAGCUUUUGAAAUGCCUCAAGGAAUCAAUGGCCUUAGAUCAAAGUUCAUAGUAAAGUCCUGCAGUAGAUGAUGACGGAGAUUGUUUUUCUCCCUUGGCGCUGAAUGCGACCUCCGUAAACGUUGAAGUCUAUUAUAACAAAGCUGUGAACUAUACAUUGAUGGUCACUUUUGUCUCGUUCCUACAGGUUCUUUUGUUGAUCCGACAAAUGGAGCACAGUAACACACAAUCCGGUGCUGCAAAGGUCUCUAUAGUAAUGAUCGGGUAACAAGCCAUCAUGGAUUCUUAUUUAUGCCUUUUACAUCUCACAGCUGGGAUUUUAGUUGGUAUGUAUUUUAUAAAAUAAUCUCACACUUGUGUUUCCUCUUUGUUUAGAUGGUAAUCUUAUGUUAUAACAAUGUUAAUGUUAAUUUUUGUAACUUUUAAAAUAUUAUUAUUUUAUUUGGGGGACCAAAUACAAAUAGACACCAAUGUUCAUACUAAAAAUAAGAACCUUUCAAAAUAAUACUUUUAAAUUUGGGGGACCAAAAAUUGUCCCUAACCAAUGCCCA